UCAUGGUCCAACUGACUUCCGGAGAAUAAAUCAUUGUCCUUGUACUUCAUAAGAGACAACAAACAAUGAUUUUGUUGUUGACGUAUAUGAGGCUGCAUUCAUUUGACGACAACAUAUUUUAAUCACCAACAAGUAUCCUAAAAUUUUGGAUUUUAAUGCCCUGAAAGAUCAACUUUUAAUCAGUUAUUGAUUACAAUUUGAGGAGCCUUGUGUCCAGGCUAAAUGCAGUGUGAUUUAUUCUAUGCUUUUGCAGCAUGGAUCAAACAGUGGCUUACUAUGCUAACACGUGAAGAGAAAAAAUUAUCUAGAGCAGGCUCCGGAUGCGCAGGCUCAGUGGCCAUGGUUCACGGGCCCAGCCACUACGCGGCACGUGGGAUCUUCCCGGACCGGGGCACGAACCCGUGUCCCCUGCAUCGGCAGGCGGACUCUCAACCACUGCGCCACCAGGGAAGCCCACUAAUUUUUAAAUGAUACUGUUUAAUGCUGAUGAGGUUACUUUAGGUAAUCCUUCCCAUGUGCAAUUUGUAGUAGGAAAUUUAACCUUCCUGGAAAACCUAAUGUUUCUGCCUUUUUAACCAAUAAUGUGAGUUCUAGAACUCUAUAAGAAGGAAGAUAAAUAUAAAUGCAGAUAAAGAUUUGGGAAUAAGGAAAUUUUUUAUGCUGUUAUUUGAGACAAAAAUUUUAAGCCAAUUAAAUGUUCACAGUAUGAAAUUAGUUAAAUUAUACUAUAUACAAAUGAUGGCAUAUUUUCUAUCCAGUAAAAGAUGUGUUUACAAAAAAUGAUGAAAUGCUCAUGAUAUAAUGUUACAUAAAAAUAUAAACUGUAAAGAGUAUAAUUCCAGUUUACUUUUUAAAGUAUACACACAUACACAGAGAGAGACAAAGACACACACACACACACACACACACACACACACACACACACACACACACGUCGGGGAGGGGAAAGGGGUUGUAUAUGCAUGUGUAUAUGGAAACCAGACUCAAAGGCAGACCAUCCAAAACCAGAGAUAUAGUGGUUAUCCCUAUAGCUAUAGAUGAUACUCUUUUCUUUCUUACACUUUUCUAUAAUUUUGGGAUUUCAUACCCUCAACUUAUAACACAUAUACUUGGAAAAUAAUUAUUUUUAAUUAGCUCAUGAGACCCCAUCAUUAUAUAAAUGAGUGACAUGGAAUAUAAGAUUACCAAAACACAAAAGUAGGAGGAUAAUCAAAUUCAAAGGAAGACUGUGAGAUACAGUAUUAAGCGCGAUUAUUUUAUAAUUUUUAAGGUCUCCUCUCCUAGUGAGUGAUUUUAACUCUGGUUAAAGCACCGUUUAACAAAAGGAAUUUUUAAAUAGUGUAUUUCGAGCAUUCCCCAAGUUUCCUGCUAUUUAGACUAUAAAUAAGAUUAUGCAACAUUGGAUUUUUUUUUUAAUUUAAUAGUAUUCACAGGGAUCUUAGGAAACUUAAACAGAGAUGCUUCCAUACCCAAAUACAUGAAGAAAUAAUACUACGUGUAUUACCAAUUUCUACACAGCUGAUUGUGUAACCAGCAAUGUCUUAUAUAAAUCGGACAAUAAUAGGAAAUGUGCUUUUAUUACAGGCAGAGCUCUGCUCUAGGUACUGUCAAAAGGCCCAAGAGAAACAAUCAAUAGAGUCCUUACCCUUCAGGGGUCUGUAACCAAAUGAAAGAAACCAGAGUACAAAAAGAACAUCAGAAAAUGUGUUAGACAACUGUACAAAGAGAUGGUUAUGUAACUAUGGGCACACGCGCACACACACACACAAUGACAGGUAUCUAGGAUGCUUUCCCACCUCCACAGAGAUGUUUCUGACUUUUGUAGUCACCCUCAGCACCUCCAGACCUGGAUGUUCUCUCUCCCAUCUUAGGGAUUAUGUCAUUCACAUGACUAGAACAUAGAUGUGAAUGAUGAGGGAUUCUGGCCAUGUAAACCAUGUGACGGGGUGUUUUGUUGGGAAAAUUCCACCCCAUUUUCCCCCAACCAUCCCUUCAUGGAAAUUAACAUGGUAUAGAGGAAAAUCCGUAACCUUGAAAUUAGAAGACGCUGUCCACAUCCCAGUUCUGACACUCACUGAGUUUCUUGAACAUGGGAAAAUUACAUUACCUUACUAAACCUGUUUCCUCUUCUCAAGUGUGAAUGGCAGAACUGAUGACACACGGUUUUCUGAGCAGUAAAUUAGAGAACACAGGUGAAUGAGGUGGUGCAGCAAUGACCCCAAAGGCACUCGAUAAGCUUAGUUGAAAUUGGAUUCAGAGCCUGGAUGUGGAUUAACCAGCAGUGCUUCUCUGUAUCUGACAUACUCUUUGACAAACAUGUCACAAGAAUUUGUUUUAUUGUCAUCGGCUCCCUGCCUUAGUUUCCUAGUCUGUGAAAUGGGACAUUGUAUAACUUCAAUUUCUGCUUUCUAAACAUCUGAGGGUCUACAGUGAGAAAUAUGAUUUAGAUCAUAAGACAAUUGGGAGUAACAUUUAGAAAAACUUUCUGAAUUCCUUUUGCCGUUGUGCACCUUGAGUUUCGUAUUAUUUGGCUUUGUUUUGUCUUUGAAAAACAAUGCUUAGAAUUCUGUCUUUCAGUUCUGGUCUCCACUUAUAUGUGUUUCUUCUCUGUGUACGUGCUAAGGUGUUUUUGUUUUGUUUUUGGUUUGUUUUGUUUUUUAAGAUCAAGUAAUGAUCUUCUCAUAUGGAGUAAAAGUAGAUUGUAGUAACUUCCCAGUGACUACUGGAGAGAAGAGUAAGAGACAAUUAAAAUCACAUUGAAUUUUUCUGAGUAUCAGGCACAAACCAGAUUUAACUUGGAACUAAAAAUAUAUAGUCCCACUGUUCAGUAGAGUUUGGGGAACAUAGAGUUUAUAAUAGAGUUUUUGUACUAACAGAGAUGUAAAAUGAACAAGUAAACAAACUACAUAUAUGGACAUGACACUUGAUGACAUUUAUUAGUAUACCAAUUGCUAAUGAUCAUUAUGAAUCAUCGUAUCUACCAACUAAACACUUUAGGAAAAGCAAAACCUCCUAUGAUAUUGUUAUAGCAUUCCUCCAAAGGAGGACAUUUACAGUCUCCUGAGAACAAUUAAAACAAUAUGACAUAUUUGUACCUUGAUGUCUCUACAGUGUAUUGUCAAUAAUUACCAAGAUAUUUCAAGCACUGAGUGGAUUUACUCCAUUGGGUCCAUAUGCCUAGAACAAUGGUUCUCAACCAGGGGUGAUUUUGCCCUCAGAGGAUAUUUGGCAAUGACAGAAGACAUUUUCCUCUGUCACAACUGACUGGGAGCAUGUAGUGGCUAAAGACCAGAGAUGCCGCUAAACAUCCUACAAUGCACAAGUCAGUCCCCACAACAAAGAAUUAUCUAGCCCAAAUUGUCAGUAGUUCCGAAGUUGAAAACCACUGGCCUAGAACAAGCAUGAAUUUAGGGAUGAUCUGUAACAUAUCCAUUCAUCCAAUCCAUGUGUUUUGAAUACCAAUGCUAAGUACGACAAAAAGUGUAGACGUUUGGUGGAUGUACAUUUGUAGUUGAAUAAUAAACUAGGAAAGAGCUUUUCCUCCUUAACUCUGAAUCAGUUCACCAUUUACUUGCUUCACCUCUCUUGUGUUCUACUUUACUUCUAUUGUCUCCUCUGCAUUUUUUUCUCCUUUUCCUUUCCCUGGUUCUCCCUUCCAUCAACUCCGCGUCCAUUUUCUUCUUCUGUUUCCUUAUGACCCACGCUACACCUUUCCUCUCCUAUACUUUUCAUGUUCCUGUCCUUUUUUUUCUUUCCUCUAAGGUUGAAGUGCUUGAACAUCCUUUCUCAUCAGUGCAUAAAUUGCAUGGAAACACAGAACUAAGUUUUAUGUAUAGUGGACAGAAGGAGAAGAGUCUGUAUGCUUCUUCCAUUAGCAGUUCCUUGAACUCCUUUCCUCGUUUAAGCACAGCUCCUUCACUCUCAUCACACGGGGGAAAAGAUGAAGAAAUCAGCCUGAGACUCUAUCUCUCAGCUGAUUCACUUUUUACUUCAAAACCGGCUCAUUUUUCAAACGAGAUUUCCCCCCAAAAGAAGAAUUUGGGAGUUUCCACCACCAGAUAUUUCAGUAUGAAGAUGGAGACUCUGUGGACAUACUAUACAAUUUUUGCUACUUCAAGUGCUCAUCUCUGAGUCCUCAUAUUCUGGAGGUCUGUCUCUAACUGCUGAGAAAUAUUGCUAAUGUUUCUUGAAACAGAAAUUUGUUCUCCUGUGUUUAACACUCGUCCAACUCAAUUAUUUUUUCAGCUGUAUUAUCACUGAAUAAACUAAAACCUUACAGUGAGCCUAAUGAAUGUAUGGCUUACUCAGAUAAGUCUGGUUAAAUUUGAUGUUUUUAAUAAAGAAAUACACACUAGAAUACAUUGCCUUAGUCAAUAAAGUAAAAGAAAACUUUUUCUUUUCUGUUGAUUCACCUUUGCAUUAAAAAACCUAGUAGGAGUACCAGCUCCUUUGUUAUACUCUGUAUAACAUUAACCAGAGCAUUUAUUAAACUGUAUGUUGCAGAUUCCCUCAUUUAGCAGGCACCCAAUUUAACUGGCAGUUUAAAAUUUUGAGCCUUCUCUAAAUAAGCCAACAGGACAAAAAAAAAAUUAACAAAAACCAAAAGCUUUGCUGUGUAGCAGUUAUUUUCCUCAACCUUGAAAUUUAUCCAUAAGGCGCUUAGUAAAGCCCCUUUGAUGUAACAGAAAGGUCAACUUCAUUGUCACUGUUUUUCUAACAUGCUAUUUGUUGAACAAAUCCUUUUCAUUUACCUCUUUUAAAAAGUUUAAGAGGGAACGCACAUAUGCGAUAAACUGUUGACUUUCACCCAGGCCACCCAGUUCCACAAAGUCAAAAUGAUCAGAGACUGUGCUGUUUCUCACCUUGCUUUCAUCUCAUGGCCUCCAUGGAAGAUGGAAGUAAACUAGCAGUCCUGCCACUGGUUGAUUUACAUUUCAAAGCUUAUAGACCAUCCAUCCACCAUCAAGCAGAAUUAUAGAAAACCAGCUCUCCAAGGUGUUUUCCAAAGAAUUAACCUUGACUUGUCAGCAAUGCAGAUACUUCUAAUGCCAGAUGAAGGAGUGCUUUGAGGGAAAAUGGAGGGCAAUUGAUUUAUCCAUGUAUUCAUAUCCUGAGCCAUGUGUUUAUAUCAUAGUGAUCUGCUUCCUUCUGGAACUGCCUUCACUAAAUUUGCUUUAAUAUUUGUCCUUGGAUUUUAUUGGACUGGUUGUGUGAAAUAUGCUUCAACAUGUGGAUAGUGGCCAUUAUAUAAUUUAAUCUUCUCUCUCUGUGUAAAAGCUGUUCUAGAGUUUAAUGUCAAACUAACUUGAUCUCGGGGCUUCCCUGGUGGCACAGUGGUUGAGAGUCCGCCUGCCGAUGCAGGGGACACGGGUUCAUGCCCCAGUCUGGGAAGAUCCCACAUGCCGCGGAGCGGCUGCGCCUGUGAGCCAUGGCCGCUGAACCUGUGCGUCCGGAGCCUGUGCUCCUCAACGGGAGAGGCCACAACAGUGAGAGGCCCGCGUACCACAAAAAAAAAAAUUAAAAAAAUUUAAAAAAAUAAUAAUAAUAACUUGAUCUCCCCUGAAAAACUGGCAUAUUUAUACUUGUCAUUGUAUUUCUAAUUAUGUAACUAGUCACAUUUCUCAUCUUUGCACUGGCUGCCAGGAAGCUCAAAUUCAAAUCUGCAAAAGCCUCCAGCUAUUAGUAACAGUAACUCUGUCGGUUAACUUAUCUGACUGCUUAUAACUUGGGUCUAUUUUCUAUCUCUUUUUUAUUUGCCUUAUGAUUAUAUCUUCUGCUUUCUACCCCUGAAAUCUUUGUUGGAAAGGGAUGGUAUUUAAA